rnacentral:rRNA from 1 species
UACGUAGGGGGCUAGCGUUGUCCGGAAUCAUUGGGCGUAAAGCGCGUGUAGGCGGCUAUGUAAGUCGGGCGUGAAAUCCCACGGCUCAACCGUGGAAGUGCACCCGAAACUGCGUAGCUAGAGUCCUGGAGAGGAAGGUGGAAUGCUUGGUGUAGAGGUGAAAUUCGUAGAUAUCAAGCGGAACACCGGUGGCGAAGGCGGAUCUCUGGGCCAUUACUGACGCUGAGGAGCGAAAGCGUGGGGAGCGAACAGG